rnacentral:tRNA from 1 species
GCCUCCUUAGCUCAGUUCGGCAGAGCAUCAGACUUUUAAUCUGAGGGUCGCGGGUUCGAGCCCCGCAGGAGGCU